rnacentral:rRNA from 1 species
UAAGACGAAGGAUGCAAGCGUUAUCCGGAUUCAUUGGGUUUAAAGGGAGCGUAGGCGGUCCUGUAAGUCAGUGGUGAAAUCUCUCGGCUUAACCGAGAAAUUGCCAUUGAUACUGCAGAACUUGAGUACAGUUGCCGUUGGCGGAAUAUGACAUGUAGUGGUGAAAUACAUAGAGAUGUCAUAGAACACCGAUUGCGAAGGCAGCUAACGAAACUGUAACUGACGCUGAGGCUCGAAAGUGCGGGGAUCAAACAGGAUUAGAUACCCUGGUAGUCCGCACUGUAAACGAUGAUUACUCGCUGCUGGGAGGUAACUUUCAGUGGCUUAGCGAAAGCGAUAAGUAAUCCACCUGGGGAGUACGCCGGCAACGGUG